rnacentral:misc_RNA from 1 species
CGUGCCUACCGAGAGGUCGUGGUUAUGAUGCCGCUGGUGCUGCUGCUCCUGCUGCUGCCCCAGCCGCAACCGUCCGUGUCUGCCGAGAAGCCGCCACCAUGCAACAGCAACAUCUAUUGCUAUGGAGAUCUCCUGCACACGGUACAAAUGGCCUCCGUACACGACGAUUCCAAAACAUUUGUAGACAUGAAGAUGAAAUUCUCUCCAAAUGAAACACUGGAACGUUUUGAAAAAUUCAUGAACAGAACAAACAGAAUGCCAGAUAAACUUCAAGUCGAACUGUUUGUGAAUGCUACGUUCGACCCUCCUGGCAGUGAGUUUGAGCCAUGGGAUCCAGUGGACUGGGUAGAAAAUCCAGCUUUCCUGGACAGAAUCGAUGACCCAUUGUACCGCGAAUGGGCAUCAGAGCUGAACCAUUUCUGGAAAAACCUUGGGAGGAAGAUUAAGGAUGACGUCAGGGAACAUCCGGAACAGUACUCAAUUAUUUACGUUCCGAAUCCAGUGAUCGUCCCCGGAGGUCGAUUUCGUGAGUUUUACUACUGGGACUCCUACUGGAUCGCAAGAGGUCUCCUGUACAGUGAAAUGUACGCCACCGUUAAAGGAAUGCUGAAAAAUUUUCUGGAAAUUGUCAACACCUAUGGUUUAGUACCAAAUGGUGGGAGGAUUUACUACAUAAUGCGUUCACAUCCUCCAUUACUCAUACCUAUGUUCAAAAGCUACUAUGAAUUCACAAAGGAUAUUGACUUCUUGAACGAGAGUAUAUCAACACUGGAGAGAGAAUUUGACUACUGGAUGAAGAAUCGUACUGUGACCGUCGAGAAAGAUGGAGUGAAGUACACCUUGGCGAGAUACAGCGACGAUUCAAGCGGGCCUCGUCCAGAAUCAUACAGUGAAGAUGCCCAUAACGCAAGGAUCUAUAAGACAGUGAAAGAGAAAAAUGAGUUUUAUUCUGAACUCAAAGCUGCUGCAGAAUCUGGAUGGGACUUUUCUACAAGGUGGUUUAUGCUAAAUGGUACAAAUAAAGGGAACCUGACACUGCUAAAAACACGGCAGAUCAUUCCAGUUGAUCUAAAUGCCUUUAUUUACUGGAAUGCAAAAAUUUUGGAGGACUUCUGGCGAAUGCUUGGCAAUCCAACCAAAGCUGAAUACUACAGAGAUAUAGCAGAAAAAUGGAAAGAGGCUGUAACUGCUGUCCUGUGGCAUGAUGAAGUUGGUGCCUGGCUUGAUUAUGAUAUGUUAAAUGAUAUUAAACGUGAUUAUUUUUAUCCAAGCAAUAUUUCACCAUUAUGGACAGGCUGCUAUGAUAAAAAUGAUCAUACAAAAAUUGGAAAAAUCCUGAAAUAUUUAGAGAAGAGCCAGGUAAUGAGUAGUCGAGGAGGUAUACCAACCUCACUUGAACAUUCAGGUGAACAGUGGGACUAUCCCAACGCAUGGCCUCCAUUGCAGUACAUAAUGAUCUAUGGCCUUGAUCAGACUGAUGAUGAAUGGGCUCAAGGUCUGGCACUUGAAAUAGCAGACAUGUGGGUCAGAUCAAACUUCAUUGCUUUCAAUAGCACAAAAUGUAUGUAUGAAAAGUAUGAUGCCACCCUCAUUGGUGUUGGGGGUGGAGGUGGAGAGUAUCGUGUACAGCUUGGUUUUGGCUGGACAAAUGGUAUUAUUUUGGAGCUGUUGAAUAAAUAUGGCCAUCAACUGCAAGUUGUUGACAAAUUUAAAGCAAAAGCUGAACAGAGCACAGCAUCUGGUGUGCAAGCUAGUGGAGGCCAAGUGUUAACAGCAGUGCUUGUUCUUCUCGGCACAUUGGCUAUCGGCAGCAUAGGGUGAGAUUCAUGUGCCUUUAUUCAGUUAGCAGAUAAGGACUAAUGCAUGACUGUUAACUACUGACUAUAAGUUCAAGCAGCACAUCUCUGAAAAGUGCAUUCAGUUAUUCCCACUUCAAUGAUGGCGCUGUUCCCAGCCAAAAAUGUAAUCCUCCCUCAUGGUUGACAAAUAGUUGCUGAUGUAUAAGAGAUGGGCUCAAACUACCACAUCACCAACUGCAGCCAGAACUCAGAGAAAGCGUGGAAUCUUCCCAAAGCUUUGUGGAGGUUAUACAGAAUUAAAGGAUC